rnacentral:rRNA from 1 species
AGCAGCCGCGGUAAUUCCAGCUCCAAUAGCGUAUAUUAAAGUUGUUGCAGUUAAAAAGCUCGUAGUUGAAUUUCGGGAUCAAUAUGUUGGUCGUGCCUUGGUACGUACUGGCAUUAUCGAUUCCUACCUUCUGAAGAACCUCGAUGUCAUUAAUUUGGUGUCUUGGGGAAUCAGGACUGUUACUUUGAAAAAUUAGAGUGUUUAAAGCAGGCUCGCGCUUGAAUACAUUAACAUGGAAUAAUGAAAUAGGACGUUUGAUUCUAUUUUGUUGGUUUCUAGGAUCGACGUAAUGAUUAAUAGGGAUAGUUGGGGGCAUUAGUAUUCAAUUGUCAGAGGUGAAAUUCUUGGAUUUAUUGAAGACUAACUACUGCGAAAGCAUUUGCCAAGGAUGUUUUCAUUAAUCAAGAACGAAAGUUAGGGGAUCGAAGACGAUCAGAUACCGUCGUAGUCUUAACCGUAAACUAUGCCGACUAGGGAUCGGAUGAUAGUUUAAUUUUUUAAUGUACUCUAUUCGGCGUCC